UACGAAGGGUGCAAGCGUUACUCGGAAUUACUGGGCGUAAAGCGUGCGUAGGUGGUUUGUUAAGUCUGAUGUGAAAGCCCUGGGCUCAACCUGGGAAUGGCACUGGAUACUGGCAAGCUAGAGUGUGGCAGAGGGUAGUGGAAUUCCUGGUGUAGCAGUGAAAUGCGUAGAGAUCAGGAGGAACAUCCGUGGCGAAGGCGACUGCCUGGGCCAACACUGACACUGAGGCACGAAAGCGUGGAGAGCAAACAGGAUUAGAUACCCUGGUAGUCCACGCCCUAAACGAUGCGAACUGGAUGUUGGGUGCAAUUUGGCACGCAGUAUCGAAGCUAACGCGUUAAGUUCGCCGCCUGGGGAGUACGGUCGCAGGACUGAA
rnacentral:rRNA from 1 species